CGGGUUGGCUACUGUUAUACAUGCAGUCGAGCGGACAGAUGGGAGCUUGCUCCCUGAUGUUAGCGGCGGACGGGUGAGUAACACGUGGGUAACCUGCCUGUAAGACUGGGAUAACUCCGGGAAACCGGGGCUAAUACCGGAUGGUUGUCUGAACCGCAUGGUUCAGACAUAAAAGGUGGCUUCGGCUACCACUUACAGAUGGACCCGCGGCGCAUUAGCUAGUUGGUGAGGUAACGGCUCACCAAGGCGACGAUGCGUAGCCGACCUGAGAGGGUGAUCGGCCACACUGGGACUGAGACACGGCCCAGACUCCUACGGGAGGCAGCAGUAGGGAAUCUUCCGCAAUGGACGAAAGUCUGACGGAGCAACGCCGCGUGAGUGAUGAAGGUUUUCGGAUCGUAAAGCUCUGUUGUUAGGGAAGAACAAGUGCCGUUCAAAUAGGGCGGCACCUUGACGGUACCUAACCAGAAAGCCACGGCUAACUACGUGCCAGCAGCCGCGGUAAUACGUAGGUGGCAAGCGUUGUCCGGAAUUAUUGGGCGUAAAGGGCUCGCAGGCGGUUUCUUAAGUCUGAUGUGAAAGCCCCCGGCUCAACCGGGGAGGGUCAUUGGAAACUGGGGAACUUGAGUGCAGAAGAGGAGAGUGGAAUUCCACGUGUAGCGGUGAAAUGCGUAGAGAUGUGGAGGAACACCAGUGGCGAAGGCGACUCUCUGGUCUGUAACUGACGCUGAGGAGCGAAAGCGUGGGGAGCGAACAGGAUUAGAUACCCUGGUAGUCCACGCCGUAAACGAUGAGUGCUAAGUGUUAGGGGGUUUCCGCCCCUUAGUGCUGCAGCUAACGCAUUAAGCACUCCGCCUGGGGAGUACGGUCGCAAGACUGAAACUCAAAGGAAUUGACGGGGGCCCGCACAAGCGGUGGAGCAUGUGGUUUAAUUCGAAGCAACGCGAAGAACCUUACCAGGUCUUGACAUCCUCUGACAAUCCUAGAGAUAGGACGUCCCCUUCGGGGGCAAAAUGACAGGUGGUGCAGGGUGUCGUCACCUCCUGUCCUGAGAUGUUGGGGUUAAGUCCCGCACGAGCGCAACCCUUGAUCUUAGUUGCCCGCAUUCAUUUGGGCACUCUAAGGUGACUGCCGUGACAACCGAGAAAGGGGGGGGGGGAAGGCCAAACCUCCUGGCCCCUUUAAACGGGGGGAACCCCUGGUUCAAUGGGAGAAAAAAAGGGGGGGAAACGCCGGGGUUAGCCAUCCCCCAAAUU
rnacentral:rRNA from 1 species